GUCCCCAUCGUCUAGCGGCCUAGGACGUCGGCCUCUCACGCCGAAAACAGGGGUUCAAACCCCCUUGGGGACG
rnacentral:tRNA from 1 species